rnacentral:tmRNA from 2 species
GGGGAUGCAAGGCAUAGACAGUUGAUUCAAUUGUUUAAUAUGCAUGUCGAGAAUGUACGUAAUCUCGUAAAACUUCGUUCAAAUGUUAAUUGCAAAAUUGACUGCUAAAGUGAAAGCUUCAGUUUCUCCAUAUUUCGGUAUGAAGGACUUUGCUUUUGCUCCAGCAUACGCUUUAGCGUAAGCUGGUGUCUUUCUUAUAGACUUCCGAUAUAUAAGUUAAGGCAUAAUAUUAUCGGGAUAGGGAAAAGAGUGUCCUGACUUUUUCCAAAACAAAGGGAAUCGAUUGAAAAAUAUUUUGUUCAUUUAAGAAUUUUUUGAUUUAAAACAAAAAAAUGUACUAAACAUAUAGAUUUAUUUACAAAAAUCUUCUGCACCGGGGUUCAAUUCCCCGCAUCUCCACAA